rnacentral:rRNA from 1 species
AGAGUUUGAUCAUGGCUCAGGGUGAACGCUGGCGGCGUGCCUAACACAUGCAAGUCGAGCGGUGCAGCUGGAGGCUUCGGCCGAAGGCUGCAUAGCGGCGGACGGGUGCGUAACGCGUAGGAACGUGCCCCCUGGAGGCGGAUAGCCGUGGGAAACUGCGGGUAAACCGCCAUAGACUCGGGAGAGUAAAGGCCGAAAGGCGCCAGGGGAGCGGCCUGCGUCCCAUCAGGUAGUUGGUAGGGUAAUGGCCUACCAAGCCUACGACGGGUAGCCGGUCUGAGAGGAUGGCCGGCCACAAGGGCACUGAGACACGGGCCCUACUCCUACGGGAGGCAGCAGUGGGGGAUAUUGGACAAUGGGCGAAAGCCUGAUCCAGCGACGCCGCGUGGAGGACGAAGCCCUUCGGGGUGUAAACUCCUUUUGUCGGGGAAAAAGGGCUGAUGGUACCCGACGAAUAAGCCCCGGCUAACUACGUGCCAGCAGCCGCGGUAAUACGUAGGGGGCGAGCGUUACCCGGAAUCACUGGGCGUAAAGGGUGCGUAGGCGGCCGCGUGUGUCUGGCGUAAAAUACCACGGCUCAACCGUGGGAAUGCGCUGGAAACUACGUGGCUUGGGUGCGGCAGAGGCAGACGGAACUGCUGGUGUAGGGGUGAAAUCCGUAGAUAUCAGCAGGAACGCCGGUGGAGAAGUCGGUCUGCUGGGCCGUAACCGACGCUGAGGCACGAAAGCUAGGGGAGCGAACCGGAUUAGAUACCCGGGUAGUCCUAGCCGUAAACGAUGCUCACUAGGUGUGGGGGCGGAAGCCUCCGUGCUGAAGCAAACGCGAUAAGUGAGCCGCCUGGGGAGUACGCCCGCAAGGGUGAAACUCAAAGGAAUUGACGG